GCCGAGCUCGUUAUAAGGAGAGAGUGAAGCAUGUGGGCCACGGUGGCGCCGUCUUUCCCGCCAGUGGAAGCAAAGAGGGGCAACUCUUGGUGAGUAGUGAUUAGUGAUUUUACGUAUGUUUCAAUUGAAGGGAGCUUCAAUAGGGA